UUCAAAGUUUUAACGUUCGUGUUAAAAAUAUUAACAUGUGUGUUCAGACACAGUGUACACCGGUGUUCAAAUUCUGAUCUGAAAAAGAGGAUAGUUGUUUGUCCGGAUUUCUAUCCUUCUAAUUGGCAAAUUUACAAAGAAAUUCAUUUGAAAAUAUGAAUGUACAUGCAGGCUUAGGAUCUUGUGAAUUUUUGACAAAUAAUUUUGUAAUUGUGAAAUAUUAAACUUCCAAGCUGGCAUAUAUAUGUAUAGUUAUGAACUUAUUUUAUUAUUAUUACUAGUUUUACUUAUAAGUGACAUAAUUAUGCAUAUCAAUGAGGCCUGUUAUGAUAAUUUCGUAAUAAAAAUAUGUCGAUGUUUAUCUUAUUUCAUGAUCCGUUCAGUUUAUUAACAUUACAUGUUCAAUCGGUGUUCAAAUCGCUCCAAAUUUUGAACACCUCGCGUUAAAAAAAAUAUACCAGGGUACCAAAUACCAGAAACAAAUAUCGGCUGGAGAUUUAGGCGGUUAAACGAAGAAUGGAUACAUAUAAGGAAGAGCACUGGAGAAGGGACUUCUAUCUCACAUGAAUACGAAAGAAGAAUCGUUCGAUUGGAAUGUUUGAAUUAGAAACCGGUAGCCAAUAAGCCCACGAAGGUCAUUUCUGCAUGCUAUAAAGUGUUGGAAAAAAGAAAGAUGUCAUAAAGGAUAUAUAGGCUCAUAGACAUUACUUGUUGUGGAGGAUUUUGAUAUUGGAAGUUGAUGAUAACACAUAAAAUGCCACCCAGUUGAUAGCUUUAAGUGAAGAUGCACUGAAAAUUUGAGCGUAUAUUGUGUGUGAUAGUACAAGAACUGUUGGAAUUUGCCAACUUUUAAACUUUUAUUGUGACAAAUAUCUAUAUCAUAAACUAUCUACUUAUCACAUUGAUAUGCUUUUUUUGUUAGGAUUCACAUGAUGUAGCAACUAUAUCUUGUCAUGCAUGCAUGUAGAAGAAAAUAAUUAUUUGUGAUAUUUAAGUCGGUUUAAAACAUUAUGUAUGUGAUUUCAUUGACUGUUACUUGUGAUAUCAUAAGGUAUUCUUGUGCACUUUUCUUACAUAUAUGCUCAUUUGAUUAUAUA